rnacentral:rRNA from 1 species
UUAUAUAGGUUAGCCUGAGAAUGUGUUAAAGUUUAUUAAACUUUUUUUAAUUAUUAUAGAUCAAAAUAUUGGUAAUAGGAAAGGAGGAAUAGUACAAGUGUUGGAAAUAUUAGGUUUAAAGCUAUAGAGAGAGUACUGUAAAGGAAGAUUGAAAGAUUAUGAAAUAGGAAUAAUACGUAAAGAAAGUUUGAAUACCUGUACCUUUUGUAUAAUGGUUUAGUUAGAAUUAUUAAAGAGAGUUUUAUGGCCCGAAGCUAAGUGAUUUAAUGUAUUCUGUUUACAGAGAGAGGGUUUUUACUGUUGCAAAAGUAAGACUUGAGGAUACAUUGGGGGUGAUAUGCUAAUCGAACUUAGGGAUAGCUGGUUUUUUGAGAAAGUAGUGUAAGCUAAAUUUGCAGGUUUAUUUGAUAUAGGUAUCUUUAAGGAUAAGUUAUGUUAUUGUAAAUAAUAUUGUGUUUUUUAGACAAAUAGGGAUAAGCUUGUUUGUCGAAGAAGAAAAAACUUUUUUUAUUGAUUAAAAAUAUUUUUAUAAUUACGUGUUGUGAUAAAAAAGGGAGUAGGAUUAGAAUCAUCUAUCUUUUAAAAAGCGUUAAAGCUUACUUUUUGUGAAUAAUGUGGAAGAUUUUAUGAAAAAGUUUGAUGUUGUAAAAUUGUUAUCAAAAAAUUUUAUAUUUUUUAAAAGUUAAAAUGCUAGAAUUAGUAAGAAGAGAAAGGAGAUUUUUUGAGAAUUAAUCACGCCUAACGGUUGGAUGGGAAAAUUUGAUAGAGAAGCAGGAAAGUGCAUUUUUUUAUUGUCUUCCAACUCAGGAAAUCGUUAAAAUACCUUAACUAAGGGAAAGGAACUCGGCAAACGUAGAUUUCGCCUGUUUACCAAAAACAUCGCUCCUUGAAAAGAUUUCUAAUAUAUAAGGAGUUCUGCCUGCCCAGUGACAAAGUUAAACGGCCGCGGUAUUUUGACCGUGCAAAGGUAGCAUAAUCAUUUGCCUUUUAAAUGGAGGCUGGUAUGAAUGGCAAGACGGAGAUUUAGCUGUCUCUCUCUUAGAGUUUUGAAUUUAAUAUUUUUGUGAAGAAGCGAAAAUAGAGUCGUAGGACGAGAAGACCCUAUCGAGCUUAAGUAAUAGGUAUAGGUUUGUAGUGUGUCUACAGUAUUAAUUAUUCUUUUAAAGAAGAAAAUUAGUUUUAUUAUGGGGGCACAGGAAUAUUGUAUCUUUUGUUUAGAUUGGGGCAAUCGCGGAAAAAAUAAAACUUCCGUUGUAGAUAAUAGGAAAGUGACUCCUUUAUAUUAUAAUUAGUUAUAUUGAAAUGAUCCGUUUUUAGAAAGCGAGUAAAGGAAUAAGUUACCGUAGGGAUAACAGCGUAAUUUUUUUGGAGAGUUCAUAUUGAUAAAAGAGUUUGCGACCUCGAUGUUGGAUCGGGACUUCCAGAGGAUGCAGCAGUUCUCAAGGGUUGGUCUGUUCGACCAUUAAAGUCCUACGUGAUCUGAGUUCAGACCGGUGAAAGCCAGGUCAGUUUCUAUCCACGAUAGAAGUUUCUUCUCUUAGUACGAAAGGAUUAGAGAGGAAGUGCCAAUUUUUUUAAAAAUGCAUUAGAAGAAAAUUCUGUAGUUAAAUUAAGAUUUUAAAACUAGUUGGAAAUACUUAAAGUUG